rnacentral:tRNA from 1 species
AUGAGGGUACCAUAGUGGUUAUGGAGUUGUUUUAGGAACAAAAAACGUUAGUUCGAUUCUUACCUCUCAUA